CCUCCAUUCUUGGCACGCUUGCGGUUGCUUGUACUCUUGUGUGAAUAUAUGGAGGAAUAUUAGCGCCAGUGAAAUGUCUUCGGUGCCAGCAUGUGCCAGUCAGCUGGUUCUAUCCUCAAUCACUGGGACACGA